GUACUUUUGAGAGCGGCGGAGGGUGAGUACGCGUGGGAUCUACCUGGUAGUGGGGGAAACUUGGGGAAACUCAAGCUAAUACCGCAUACGCCCUACGGGGAAGGAGGGGUCUUCGGACCUUUCGCUAUCAGAUGAGCCUGCGUAGGAUUAGCUAGUUGGUAGGGUAAAGGCCUACCAAGGCGACGAUCCUUAGCUGGUCUGAGAGGAUGAUCAGCCACACUGGGACUGAGACACGGCCCAGACUCCUACGGGAGGCAGCGGUGGGGAAUAUUGGACAAUGGGGGCAACCCUGAUCCAGCCAUGCCGCGUGUGUGAAGAAGGCCUUCGGGUUGUAAAGCACUUUCAGUGGUGAGGAAGGGUGAAAGUUAAUACCUAUAUACAUUGACGUUAGCCACAGAAGAGCACCGGCUAACUCCGUGCCAGCGCCGCGUAAUACGGAGGGUGCAAGCUUAAUCGGAUUACUGGGCGUAAAGCGCGCGUGGUGGUUCAGUCAGUCAGAUGUAAAGCCCCGGGCUUAACCUGGGAUUGCACCUAUACUGCUGAGCUAGAGUACAGUAGAGGGGAGUGGAUUUCCUGUGUGCGUGAAUGCGUAGAUAUAGGAAGGAACACAGUGGCGAGGCGACCUCUCUGGACUGAUACUGACACUUAGGUGCGACAGCGUGGGGAGCAACAGGAUUAGAUACCCUGGUAGUCCACGCUGUAAACGAUGUCAACUAGCCGUUGGGACACCUUGAUGUCUUAGUGGCGCAGCUAACGCGAUAAGUUGACCGCCUGGGGGAGUACGGUCGCAAGAUUAAAACUCAAAUGAAUUGACGGGGGCCCGCACAAGCGGUGGAGCAUGUGGUUUAAUUCGACGCAACGCGAAGAACCUUACCUACUCUUGACAUCCAGAGAACUUUCCAAAGAUGGAUUGGGGCCUUCGGGAACUCUGAAACAGGUGCUGCAUGGCUGUCGUCAGCUCGUGUUGUGAAGUGUUGGGUUAAGUCCCGUAACGAGCGCAACCCUUGUCCUUACUUGCCAGCGGGUAAUGCCGGGAACUUUAAGGAGACUGCCGGUGACAAACCGGAGGAAGGUGGGGACGACGUCAAGUCAUCAUGGCCCUUACGAGUAGGGCUACACACGUGCUACAAUGGCCGGUACAGAGGGCCGCGAUACCGCGAGGUGGAGCAAAUCUCAGAAAACCGGUCGUAGUCCGGAUCGCAGUCUGCAACUCGACUGCGUGAAGUCGGAAUCGCUAGUAAUCGCGAAUCAGAAUGUCGCGGUGAAUACGUUCCCGGGCCUUGUACACACCGCCCGUCACACCAUGGGAGUGGGUUGCACCAGAAGUAGCUAGUCUAACUUCGA
rnacentral:rRNA from 1 species